AAUCAACGCUGGCGGCGUGCCUCAGACAUGCAAGUCGAACGAUUAAAGCUCUCUUCGGAGAGUGUAUAGAGUGGCGCACGGGUGAGUAACACGUAAGUAAUCUACCCUCGAGUGGGGAAUAACAUCGGGAAACCGAUGCUAAUACCGCAUAACGCAGCGGCACCGCAAGGUGACAGUUGUUAAAGGAGUAAUUCGCUUGAGGAGGAGCUUGCGGCAGAUUAGCUUGUUGGUAAGGUAACGGCUUACCAAGGCUACGAUCUGUAUCCGGCCUGAGAGGGCGGUCGGACACACUGACACUGAAUAACGGGUCAGACUCCUACGGGAGGCAGCAGUCGGGAAUUUUGGGCAAUGGGCGAAAGCCUGACCCAGCAACGCCGCGUGAAGGAUGAAGUAUUUCGGUAUGUAAACUUCGAAAGAAUGGGAAGAAUAAAUGACGGUACCAUGUAUAAGCUCCGGCUAACUACGUGC
rnacentral:rRNA from 1 species